rnacentral:rRNA from 1 species
GCUCAGGAUGAACGCUGGCGGCGUGCUUAACACAUGCAAGUCGAACGAUGAACCUCACUUGUGGGGGGAUUAGUGGCGAACGGGUGAGUAACACGUGAGUAACCUGCCCUUGACUCUGGGAUAAGCCUGGGAAACCGGGUCUAAUACUGGAUAUGACCUUCCCGCGCAUGCGGUGUUGGUGGAAAGCUUUAUUGCGGUUUUGGAUGGACUCGCGGCCUAUCAGCUUGUUGGUGGGGUAAUGGCCUACCAAGGCGACGACGGGUAGCCGGCCUGAGAGGGUGGACGGCCACACUGGGACUGAGACACGGCCCAGACUCCUACGGGAGGCAGCAGUGGGGAAUAUUGCACAAUGGGCGCAAGCCUGAUGCAGCGACGCCGCGUGGGGGAUGAAGGCCUUCGGGUUGUAAACCUCUUUCAGUAGGGAAGAAGCGAAAGUGAC